UCUGGCAUUUACACCUGUGCAGGUUUGAAUUUGCUUCUUAUCACCUUGAUCAUGAAUUUCUGGUGUGAACAUUAUUUUGUAUAGGAAGUUCCAAGCUGUUGAGGGAUUUAUAACUGACAAAACUUUAAAAUGGAAAAAGGAAAUCAUAUUUAGUCCAGAGAUUCUAAUUUAUGAAACUUUCAUUGGCUUGCAUGCCAUCAUCCAGCUGGUCUGAUGCUUGUGUAAAAAUAUCUAUGCAUUACAAAGGUUCUCUGCCUUAACAAGGUUAGGAGGUGAAGACUGUCUGUAGGGCACUUGCCAAACUUAGUCAUAGAAGUCCUAGUGACUUUCUCGGGUUCUUGCUAUUUGCACCAGCCCUGGGGUUAGAACGACUAUCACUGAAAAAGGAAAUUGGCUAUACCACGUAACAGCUUAUUUGACUAGUGCUAUACUGCUAUUUGUGAAAUGAUUUCUAGGUCAUGAGUUCUUAAUAUAUUUUACAAACAGUCUGAUUCAUUGAGGUUGAAUGAAUAUCUUUUAAAUGAAAUAUGUUUUCAGGUUGAAAUCAGCAUUUUUAUUUUCAUGUUAAAUGUGUAAAUUUGAUCUAUUUGUGAACCAUUUCAAUAGAAGUCUCAAUUUCCGGGUAAAUCUUGCUUAUCAUUCUUUUGGCCUAGAUGUGCCUCCAAAGGUCAUUGUUUUUGAGCUUAGUGUUGAUGAAGCUAUGAUUAUUAGACUACUAUCUUUCAGGUUGGACAUUCAUGAUUUUUAACUCAUUGUUUCUCAAGUAGAACUGGAAGUUACAGUUCUGUGCUUGCUCCUAGUCCUUGAGUCUAUUGUUAAGGGUGUUCAUUGUUGAGAUAGACCUUAGGUUUGAAUCUUAUUUAUACUGAAUGAGAGAUGAGAUAUGGAGCCACAAGGUUGGGGGUUUGAUGGUGGAUAAAACUAGUUGGAUUUUGUCGUGUGCAUGAGUUUGAUUGCAAUGCUGUGAAUUGUUAAUACUCUUGUUUGAAGGAAGCUUUGACCAUGCAAAGUUCUAGUAAC
rnacentral:misc_RNA from 1 species